rnacentral:rRNA from 1 species
UACGUAGGGCGCAAGCGUUGUCCGGAAUUAUUGGGCGUAAAGAGCUCGUAGGCGGCUUGUCGCGUCUGCUGUGAAAUCCCGGGGCUUAACCCCGGGCGUGCAGUGGAUACGGGCAGGCUGGAGGCAGGCAGGGGAGAACGGAAUUCCUGGUGUAGCGGUGAAAUGCGCAGAUAUCAGGAGGAACACCGGUGGCGAAGGCGGUUCUCUGGGCCUGUUCUGACGCUGAGGAGCGAAAGCGUGGGUAGCGAACAGG